UACAGAGGUCUCAAGCGUUGUUCGGAUUCAUUGGGCGUAAAGGGUGCGUAGGCGGCGCGGUAAGUCGGGUGUGAAAUUUCGAGGCUUAACUUCGAAACUGCAUUCGAUACUGCCGUGCUAGAGGACUGGAGAGGAGACUGGAAUUUACGGUGUAGCGGUGAAAUGCGUAGAUAUCGUAAGGAAGACCAGUGGCGAAGGCGGGUCU
rnacentral:rRNA from 1 species